CAAUAGCGUAUAUUAAAGUUGUUGCAGUUAAAAAGCUCGUAGUUGGAUUUCUGGUAGGAGUGACCGUUCCGAACUUGAUUGUUCGUGUAUUGUGUUUUCUCCAGCCAUCCUUGUGGAGAACUUUUCUUGCAUUAAUUUGUAGGGAUUGGGACCUGCAUCGUUUACUGUGAAAAAAUUAGAGUGUUUAAAGCAGGCAAUCGCUUGAAUACAUUAGCAUGGAAUAAUAAGAUAGGACUUUGGUACUAUUUUGUUGGUUUGCAUACCAAAUUAAUGAUCAACAGGAACAGUUUGAGGAUAUUCGUAUGAACAUGUCAGAGGUGAAAUUCUUGGAUUUUGAUCAGACGAACUACUGCGAAAGCAUUUAUCAAGGAUGUUUUCAUUAA
rnacentral:rRNA from 1 species